GAUGAACGCUAGCUACAGGCUUAACACAUACAAGUCGAGGGGCAGCGCAGUGUAGCAAUACAUGGGCGGCGACCGGCGCACGGGUGCGUAACGCGUAUCCAACCUUCCCGUUACUCACGGAUAGCCUUCCGAAAGGGAGAUUAAUACGAGAUGGUGUUGAAAUUCCUCAUGUUAUUUCAACUAAAGAUUCAUCGGUAACGGAUGGGGAUGCGUGACAUUAGGUAGAUGGCGGGGUAACGGCCCACCAUGCCGACGAUGUCUAGGGGUUCUGAGAGGAAGGUCCCCCACACUGGAACUGAGACACGGUCCAGACUCCUACGGGAGGCAACAGUGAGGAAUAUUGGUCAAUGGCCGGAAGGCUGAACCAGCCAAGUAGCGUGAAGGAUGAAGGUUCUAUGGAUUGUAAACUUCUUUUAUACGGGAAUAAAACCACCUACGUGUAGGUGCUUGUAUGUACCGUAUGAAUAAGCAUCGGCUAACUCCGUGCCAGCAGCCGCAGUAACAC
rnacentral:rRNA from 1 species